GGAAAUGAAAGCACCAUUCCUCCCAUAAAGAGUAAGAAACAUCAAGACUUUUGCUUUCUAUUCCACACACCAAUUUUCUUCAUUAAAAGGACUGACAUUUCCUGGAAUGGAUCAUUCCCCAGGAGAAAUGCAAGUUCCAAAAGGCAGUUACAGAUGCAGUGGUCCCUCCGUGGAAGAUAGCUGAGCUGGCAUGACAUCGUAGCAGUGAGAUGGGCAGCGAAAGAAAGGGGGAGAUGCUGCUGGGUUCCCAGGUGGUCACAACAGAGAUCCCCAGGGCCUUCGGGCCGGUUGCUUGUGGGGCCAGGAAGAAAUAUUUCCCCACAAGGUCAGGAAGAAAUUUUCCCCCACAAAGAACUGACAAGUGCUGGAGGAAGUGGAAAAUCCAGGAAAGCGACAAAAGAAAUCCUGGCUUGCUCUUCCGUACAGUUUCAUGCUGCUGGGUCAGUGAUUAACAAAGACAAGGUCCUACUGCAGGGAAGCUAAAUGGAGUUCAUUACGGGCAUAAGAGCUGGGGAGGCCAAAAAGGUGAGACUACGUGAAACAGGAUGAAAUGAGACACUAAUAAGUAUGGGUUUCACUUCCUUAAUGUAACUGUAAGGACAGCUUUUAACUAUCACCCACUCAUAAGAAUUACGGAUGGCAGCAAUUCAAAGCAAAUAUUUUAUGUUAUUAUGAGCCCCUAUCUUGGGUGCAGUGGUGGUAGAAAGCUUCCGUGAGUUAAAUAAUAGGCCACAUCUUUCUUAUCCAAAGCAUCCAACAG